AACGAACGCUGGCGGCAUGCCUAACACAUGCAAGUCGAACGCCUGUAGCAAUGCAGGAUUGGCAGACGGGUGCAUAACACGUGGGAACCUACCCUUGGGUUCGGAAUAACCGCGGGAAACUGCGGCUAAUACCGGAUACGUCCUCUGGGAGAAAGAUUCAUCGCCCUUGGAGGGGCCCGCCUCGGAUUAGCUAGUUGGUGAGGUAACGGCGCACCAAGGCGACGAUCAGUAGCUGAUCUGAGAGGAUGAUCAGCCACACCGGAACUGAGACACGGUGCAGACUCCUACGGGAGGCAGCAGUGGGGAAUAUUGGACAAUGGGGGCAACCCUGAUCCAGCAAUGCCGCGUGGGUGAUGAAGGCCUUCGGGUUGUAAAGCCCUUUUGGCAGGGACGAUGAUGACGGUACCUGCAGAAUAAGCCCCGGCUAACUUCGUGCCAGCAGCCGCAGUAACAC
rnacentral:rRNA from 1 species